rnacentral:pre_miRNA from 1 species
AAAGUACUCCCUCCGUCCCAAAAUUCUUGUCUUAGAUUUGUCUAGAUACGCAUGUAUCAAGUCACAUUUUAGUAUUAGAUACAUCCGUAUCUAGACAAAUCUAAGACAAGAAAUUUGGGACAGAGGGAGUAGUUG